rnacentral:misc_RNA from 1 species
UCACCGCUUGCGCGGGCAGUCUCAUUAGAGUCCUCAGCAUUACCUGGUAGCAACUAACGAUAGGGGUUGCGCUCGUUACGGGACUUAACCCAACACCUCACGGCACGAGCUGACGACAGCCAUGCAGCACCUAGUUUCGUGCCCUUGCGGGAAGGCCGAUUUCUCGGCCGGUCACUAACUUUCAAGCCCGGGUAAGGUUCCUCGCGUAUCAUCGAAUUAAACCACAUGCUCCUCCGCUUGUGCGGGCCCCCGUCAAUUCCUUUGAGUUUCAAUCUUGCGACCGUACUUCCCAGGUGGAUAACUUAAUGCUUUCGCUUAGACGCGUACAGUAUAUCGCACACAUCGAGUUAUCAACGUUUAGGGCGUGGACUAC